GAAAAAAUGUCUCAUUAGCACAAAAAAACAUUCUAUAGACAAAAUGCUUAAACCGUAACAGUAGUCGUUUGUGGCAGCAGUUGCGCUAAUCAGCAAAUGGCUGGCAUUUCUUUUAGAGUCUGCUGAUAAUUGGCAGACGGAAUCAUGCAUGCGCCUUAUGUAAAUCACAUUCAAUAAGCAAAAUCCAUACAGAACGUCGCCUCUAGUCUCUAAUGGCAACCUCCAAUGUCCACAACAUUGCCCAGAUGCAUGUCCUGGUUACCCUAGCACUCUCAGAGCAAACUAGUACAGAGACGCCAGAAUAAAAUGUCCAGCAUUCUAUGCCAAACACAAGUAAUCCAGCUAGAUUCAGCAUUGGCGCGGAUUAUUCAUACGCAGAAAAAGAGCAUAUCACAAGGCAAGGGACUGGUUUAUACACUUUAGUAAGGGAUCAGCAUUGACAAAAUAAGUUAAUCCAACUAGAAAAUUAUGUAUCAAAUAUAUAUUAAAAAAAAAUCCAUCAGAGUUUGUGCAUCCCCAAAUUUACAAAAGACCUACUUUACCUCUGGUCAUAAAAGCAAGGGAGAAAACUUUAUGGGGGAAAAAUUUUGCAACAGCAUUUCGUAAAAACAUUAAUUUUUGGAUGGUAAUGUUGCUCAAGGACCACAGCAGAUGAGGGUCUUCAGUCACACCACUCCUGAGGGAAGGCGGAGAACAAGCUGUCCUCCAAACACA
rnacentral:misc_RNA from 1 species